AUUAUUCUGUAAGUUGUGUUUUUAUAUUUUGUAUAUAGAUUGCAUAUUAAGUCAUUACUUAGGUUUUACAAAGCGACACUUGUCCGCAAGAUUUUAGUUUGUUUACAAAAUUGUUUGAACAUUUUGAAUUGACUUUAGAACUUAUAUUUAAAAUUGAAUUUAGUUAAUUUUAUUGUAUUACACACAUAUACGGAACUAGUGACCGAAGUACAUGUUUGUUGCUAAGCAACAUUGGUAUAUUGUUAUUUUAAUAUUUUGCAAAAACAGUUAAUACUGUUUAAGAAUUAUACAAAGUUAUUUUACAUACCAAUUUAUUCAGAAAUAAAUUGUAUUUGGUAUUAGAUUUUAUGCGAUUAAAUAUAGAAAUAGUUUGGCAAAGAUUUUAUUAAUUUUAAAGGUUUAUUAUUUCCAUAGCAACAAGUUAUUAUACGAAACGUUUUAAAUUAAGUAUUCUUUCUAGUUGAAAUGAUUCGGUUUAUUUUACAUAUUGUAUUAUGUAUUAUUCUGUACGUUAAGUUUUGUAAAGCGGUUUCACUUGAUAAAAUAUAGUUUGGGCAAGUUUUAUUUAAUUAGUUAAAAUUUGCAUAGAGUUAUGUCCCUUAAUUUAGUUCAUUUGUGAAAUUCUAAAUUUAUUAUCAAGUGAGACUUGCUAUUUUAUUGUGUAAAAUCUGUAGCACUUUGAUUACUGAUUUCAAGAAAUAAACAUCUAUAUUUACUAGAACUUUCUCUUGUUUUACACCAGGUAAGCUAAAUUAUAUUUUUUUGUAUUUUUGUUAUAUUUAGAUUAAAGAGUUUGAAUUACUUUAUAUUUUGGAAAAAGCUUACUAAAGUUAAAAUUUAUUUAAUGAUAUUCACUUAAAUUAAUUGUAUAUAUUUUGUAUAGAUUUUAUUUGUUUCCAUUGAGAUUAAUUAUUUUAUGUUGGAUACGCUUGGGACGCGAUACUUUUUAUUUAUGUAAACAAUUGAGAUAUGUUUCAAGAAUUUAUUUAAUUCAAAUCUAUUCCAUGUUUAGAAACAUUUAGUUAAUUUAUAAAAGUUAUUUUUAAAAAGUUUAUUCAAAGUCCGGAAAUAUUUCAUAUUGUAUCCGUAGUAACUUUUAAGUAUUACAAUGUCCAGGGGAGAUAAUUUGUAAUUUUUAUUUGCCGGGUGAAAUGUCUUUUGUUGAUAAAGCAAUGAUUAUAGAGUUAGAUCGAAAGCUAAAUAACAUAGACAUGAAACCUUAUUUCCUCCUUUAUUAUUCUGUAAGUUGUGUUUUUAUAUUUUGUAUAUAGAUUGCAUAUUAAGUCAUUACUUAGGUUUUACAAAGCGACACUUGUCCGCAAGAUUUUAGUUUGUUUACAAAAUUGUUUGAACAUUUUGAAUUGACUUUAGAACUUAUAUUUAAAAUUGAAUUUAGUUAAUUUUAUUGUAUUACACACAUAUACGGAACUAGUGACCGAAGUACAUGUUUGUUGCUAAGCAACAUUGGUAUAUUGUUAUUUUAAUAUUUUGCAAAAACAGUUAAUACUGUUUAAGAAUUAUACAAAGUUAUUUUACAUACCAAUUUAUUCAGAAAUAAAUUGUAUUUGGUAUUAGAUUUUAUGCGAUUAAAUAUAGAAAUAGUUUGGCAAAGAUUUUAUUAAUUUUAAAGGUUUAUUAUUUCCAUAGCAACAAGUUAUUAUACGAAACGUUUUAAAUUAAGUAUUCUUUCUAGUUGAAAUGAUUCGGUUUAUUUUACAUAUUGUAUUAUGUAUUAUUCUGUACGUUAAGUUUUGUAAAGCGGUUUCACUUGAUAAAAUAUAGUUUGGGCAAGUUUUAUUUAAUUAGUUAAAAUUUGCAUAGAGUUAUGUCCCUUAAUUUAGUUCAUUUGUGAAAUUCUAAAUUUAUUAUCAAGUGAGACUUGCUAUUUUAUUGUGUAAAAUCUGUAGCACUUUGAUUACUGAUUUCAAGAAAUAAACAUCUAUAUUUACUA